GAUGAACGCUGGCGGCGCAUUUAAGACAUGCAAGUCGAACGAAAACUUUUUACCGAAUUGAUAUGACGAUUUAUCUGAAUUGAAAUUCACCAAAAAGUUUUAGUGGCGGACGGGUGAGUAAUACGUAGAUAAUCUGCCUUUUAGAGGGAAAUAACAAGAAGAAAUUUUUGCUAAUGUGCCAUAAUCACCACAUGGUGGUAGUGGGAAAGGAGCAAUCCGCUGAUAGAUGGGCUUGCGUCUGAUUAGAUAGUUGGUGGGGUAAUGGCCUACCAAGUCGACGAUCAGUAGCCGGACUGAGAGGUUGAACGGCCACAUUGGGACUGAGAUACGGCCCAG
rnacentral:rRNA from 1 species